UACGAAGGGGGCUAGCGUUGCUCGGAAUUACUGGGCGUAAAGGGCGCGUAGGCGGACAGUUUAGUCAGAGGUGAAAGCCCAGGGCUCAACCUUGGAAUAGCCUUUGAUACUGGCUGUCUUGAGUUCGGGAGAGGUGAGUGGAAUGCCGAGUGUAGAGGUGAAAUUCGUAGAUAUUCGGCGGAACACCAGUGGCGAAGGCGACUCACUGGCCCGGCAUUGACGCUGAGGUGCGAAAGCGUGGGGAGCAAACAGG
rnacentral:rRNA from 1 species